rnacentral:rRNA from 1 species
UACGAAGGGGGCAAGCGUUGUUCGGAAUUACUGGGCGUAAAGGGCGCGUAGGCGGCUGAUCAAGUCAGGCGUGAAAUUCCCGGGCUCAACCUGGGGGCUGCGCUUGAUACUGAUUGGCUUGAAUGCGGGAGAGGAUAGUGGAAUUCCCAGUGUAGAGGUGAAAUGCGUAGAUAUUGGGAGGAACACCAGUGGCGAAGGCGGCUACCUGGACCGGUUCUGACGCUGAGGCGCGAAAGCGUGGGUAGCAAACAGG